CGUAGGGGGCUAGCGUUGUCCGGAUUUAUUGGGCGUAAAGAGCGUGUAGGCGGCCAGAUAGGUCUGCUGUGAAAACUCGAGGCUCAACCUCGAGCUGUCGGCGGAAACCAUUUGGCUAGAGUCCGGAAGAGGAGAGUGGAAUUCCUGGUGUAGCAGUGAAAUGCGCAGAUAUCAGGAAGAACACCUAUGGCGAAGGCAGCUCUCUGGGACGGUACUGACGCUGAGACGCGAAAGCGUGGGGAGCGAACAGGAUUAGAUACCCUGGUAGUCCACGCCGUAAACGAUGGGUGCUAGGUGUGGGCGGUGUCGACUCCGUCCGUGCCGAAGCUAACGCAUUAAGCACCCCGCCUGGGGAGUACGGCCGCAAGGCUA
rnacentral:rRNA from 1 species